GAAAUGCGAUAAGUAAUGUGAAUUGCAGAGUUUUGUGAAUCAUCGAGUCUUUGAACGCACAUUGCGCCCCCUGGCAUUCCGGGGGGCAUGCCUGUCCGAGCGUCAUUGCUGCCCUUCAAGCCCGGCUUGUGUGUUGGGUCGUCGUCCCCCCCGGGGGACGGACCCGAAAGGCAGCGGCGGCACCGUGUCCGGUCCUCGAGCGUAUGGGGCUUUGUCACCCGCUCGAUUAGGACCGGCCGGGCGCCCGCCGGCGUCAAACCCCAAUCUUUCUAAGGUUGACCUCGGAUCAGGUAGGGAUACCCGCUGAACUUAAGC
rnacentral:misc_RNA from 1 species